ensembl:miRNA gga-mir-1734 gga-mir-1734
UCAGAUGCUGAAAUAUGCCCCAAUGUAUAAGCUAUUUGUACUUCUGCUCAGUGCUUAUGUAUUGAGGCAUAUUUCAGCAUCUGA